rnacentral:misc_RNA from 1 species
CACCAAUCAAGCCUGGCUUGGUAUUGGGCGACGGGGCCGUCACACGCCCCGCGCCCCAAUGACCUUUCCGGCGGGACGGACCGUAUCUCAGCGUUGUGCAAACGAGUCGCUGGCGAGGACGGGACGGCCGUGCCGUUAAACCUCCAUUAUCCAU